UACGUAGGGUGCAGGCGUUAAUCGGAAUUACUGGGCGUAAAGUGUGCGCAGGCGGCCGCGCAAGUCGAGUGUGAAAGCCCCGGGCUUAACUUGGGAAUUGCGCUCGAAACUACGUGGCUGGAGUGUGGCAGAGGAAGGUGGAAUUCCACGUGUAGCGGAUGAAAUGCGUAGAGGAUGUGGAGGAACACCGAUGGCGAAGGCAGCCCCCUGGGUUAACACUGACGCUCAGGCACGGAAAGCGUGGGGAGCAAACAGG
rnacentral:rRNA from 1 species